UACGUAGGGGGCAAGCGUUGUCCGGAAUCAUUGGGCGUAAAGCGCGUGUAGGCGGUCCGGUAAGUCCGCUGUGAAAGUCGGGGGCUCAACCCUCGGAUGCCGGUGGAUACUGUCGGGCUUGAGUACGGAAGAGGCGAGUGGAAUUCCUGGUGUAGCCGGUGAAAUGCGCAGAUAUCAGGAGGAACACCAAUUGCGAAGGGCAGCUCGCUGGACGUUACUGACGCUGAGACGCGAAAGCGUGGGAGCAAACAG
rnacentral:rRNA from 1 species